CAGGGACCGAGCGAUGUCUUCGCAUAUAAAUUCACAUAUACCUCAAAACCAAGAAGAAAGGGAUCUUCUGUUGCUGUCAAAAACAUUCUCUGCAGAUAUGAGCCGCCGGAAGGAGCUUGUCCGUUUCUUCAUCAUCGCCAUCGCUGUCGAAAGAGCAACCUUUUGAACCCAGCAUGAACACGGCAGGUGUGGUUGCCGCUCCAGUCGACGAAGGCCAAGCCGGAGACUUCACAACGGCCGAGAAGCGAAGGGUUCCGACUGGAUCGAACCCACUCCACAACAAGAGAUUGCUUUGAGUGAAAACCAGCUGUUACAGACGGUUUUGGAGGAGAAACCCUUUUUUCUUUUUCUCUUCAUUUUUUUGUUGAAAUGUUAUCCUGGAUGAUUAUUACUUCCGGUUACCGUCUCCAUACUGGAUGUGUAUAAGAUUACUGAUAUGCUUAUUCUGAAAUUUUUUAAGG